rnacentral:rRNA from 1 species
UACGUAGGGUGCGAGCGUUAAUCGGAAUUACUGGGCGUAAAGCGUGCGCAGGCGGUUUUUUAAGUCAGAUGUGAAAUCCCCGGGCUUAACCUGGGAACUGCGUUUGAGACUGCAAGGCUAGAGUGUAGCAGAGGGGGGUGGAAUUCCACGUGUAGCAGUGAAAUGCGUAGAGAUGUGGAGGAACAUCGAUGGCGAAGGCAGCCUCCUGGGAUAACACUGACGCUCAGGCACGAAAGCGUGGGGAGCAAACAGG